rnacentral:rRNA from 1 species
AGAACGAACGCUGGCGGCAGGCUUAACACAUGCAAGUCGAGCGCCCCGCAAGGGGAGCGGCAGACGGGUGAGUAACGCGUGGGAACAUACCCUCCGGUUCGGAAUAGCUCAGGGAAACUUGGAUUAAUACCGGAUACGGCCUAGCGGCGAAAGAUUCAUCGCCGGAGGAUUGGCCCGCGUCUGAUUAGCUAGUUGGUGGGGUAAUGGCCCACCAAGGCGACGAUCAGUAGCUGGUCUGAGAGGAUGAUCAGCCACAUUGGGACUGAGACACGGCCCAAACUCCUACGGGAGGCAGCAGUGGGGAAUAUGGACAAUGGGCGCAAGCCUGAUCCAGCCAUGCCGCGUGAGUGAUGACGGCCUUAGGGUUGUAAAGCUCUUUCGCUAGGGACGAUAAUGACGGUACCUAGACAAGAACGCCCCGGCUAACUUCGUGCCAGCAGCCGC